rnacentral:rRNA from 1 species
UACGAAGGGGGCUAGCGUUGCUCGGAAUCACUGGGCGUAAAGCGCACGUAGGCGGCUUGUUAAGUCAGGGGUGAAAUCCUGGAGCUCAACUCCAGAACUGCCUUUGAUACUGAGGAUCUUGAGUCCGGGAGAGGUGAGUGGAACUGCGAGUGUAGAGGUGAAAUUCGUAGAUAUUCGCAAGAACACCAGUGGCGAAGGCGGCUCACUGGCCCGGUACUGACGCUGAGGCACGAAAGCGUGGGGAGCAAACAGG